GAUGAACGCUGGCGGCGUGCCUAAUACAUGCAAGUCGAGCGAACAGACGAGGAGCUUGCUUUUCUGAUGUUAGCGGCGGACGGGUGAGUAACACGUGGAUAACCUACCUAUAAGACUGGGAUAACUUCGGGAAACCGGAGCUAAUACCGGAUAAUAUUUUGAACCGCAUGGUUCAAAAGUGAAAGACGGUUUUGCUGUCACUUAUAGAUGGAUCCGCGCUGCAUUAGCUAGUUGGUAAGGUAACGGCUUACCAAGGCAACGAUGCAUAGCCGACCUGAGAGGGUGAUCGGCCACACUGGAACUGAGACACGGUCCAGACUCCUACGGGAGGCAGCAGUAGGGAAUCUUCCGCAAUGGGCGAAAGCCUGACGGAGCAACGCCGCGUGAGUGAUGAAGGUCUUCGGAUCGUAAAACUCUGUUAUUAGGGAAGAACAAAUGUGUAAGUAACUGUGCACAUCUUGACGGUACCUAAUCAGAAAGCCACGGCUAACUACGUG
rnacentral:rRNA from 1 species